GACGAACGCUGGCGGCGUGCUUAACACAUGCAAGUCGAACGGAAAGGCCCUGCUUUUGUGGGGUGCUCGAGUGGCGAACGGGUGAGUAACACGUGAGUAACCUACCCUUGACUUUGGGAUAACUUCAGGAAACUGGGGCUAAUACCGGAUAGGAGCUCCUGCUGCAUGGUGGGGGUUGGAAAGUUUCGGCGGUUGGGGAUGGACUCGCGGCUUAUCAGCUUGUUGGUGGGGUAGUGGCUUACCAAGGCUUUGACGGGUAGCCGGCCUGAGAGGGUGACCGGCCACAUUGGGACUGAGAUACGGCCCAGACUCCUACGGGAGGCAGCAGUGGGGAAUAUUGCACAAUGGGCGGAAGCCUGAUGCAGCAACGCCGCGUGCGGGAUGACGGCCUUCGGGUUGUAAACCGCUUUCGCCUGUGACGAAGCGUGAGUGACGGUAAUGGGUAAAGAGGCACCGGCUAACUACGUG
rnacentral:rRNA from 1 species